rnacentral:lncRNA from 1 species
CUCAGAAUGAACAGUGGACGGGAGCGACCGGCAGGGUGAGUUCAAACACAAUGGAAGAGUUUUCCUUGGGAAGGAG